rnacentral:lncRNA from 1 species
CCCCACCACCAGGCUGUUUGGCCUCUGUCUACCGGGGAUUCUACUCGGUGCUGAGGGAGUUCAGAGAAGGGCUGUCACCAUCGUAAUUUGGAGCCCAAAUAGAUUUGGGUCAGAGGACAUCUCAGGAGACUCAGGGUUCACCAGUCUUUGCCAUGGGUGACUGUGUUUGGCCAGCUUUCAGCACACAGUAGGGGCUCAAGAAAUAUUUGUUGAAUGAGUGACUCAAUGAUGGAAGAAAUUAAUGAAAGCCUGAAUGUUGACGAACAUCUCCUUCUGGAAGGAAGGAGAUCAAAAAAAAAUAACAAAAAGCUCAGGAAUCCAUGAACAUAAUGUUGAAUGAAAUAAGCCAGAUACAAGAGAAGGUUCUGUGUGACGACAUUUGUAUAAAGUUCUAGAACAGGCAAGAUAAAUCUAUGGUGACAGGAAUCAGAAUAGUGGUUACCUGGGGUCUGGAAGGAACGGACAGAGCUGUUCCCUGUCUACUCAAUAUCUGUUCCCCUCUCCCCUGCAGCUAGUGUAGCCACUUGAUAAAGUUCUGGUCAAUGAGACGUAAGUGGAACUGUCAGGUGACAGUUGGGGAAACCUUCUUAUGAGGACUGGUUCAUACUCUUUGCCCUCUUGUCCCCUCCUCUUCCAUCCUGCUCUCUGAAUACAGAUGUGAUGGCUGGAUCUCUGGCUGUCCUACUGGAUCAUGAGGACUAGGACCACACUCAGAGGUUAGAAGAGCUGGGAACUAGAUUUCUAACUACUCCAUGGAGCUGUCACACCAGCCCUGGAUCGCUUACCUGCUCACCUCUAGACUUCUUUUAUGUGAGAGAAAGAAACGGCUCUCUUGGGUUAGCCACUGUUAUUUUGCCAUUUUCUGUCACAUGAAAUUUAACCUCGCUGCCCCACAACCCUCUGAAGUUGGUAUUAUUACUGUUGUGCAGAUGAGGACAUGGAGCCACAGAUUAAAUCCUUGCCCGAGGUCACGUGGCUGGAAAUAGGGAGAGCCUGGAUGUGAGUCCCAUGCUGUGAGGGUUGUGGAGGCCAUUCCUUCUCUGGAAGCCACUGGGCACACCUCACUGUUCUCUCAUGCCCAUUUCCUGGGGUCCCCAGACAGCACAGCCCGCGAUCACAGGAUUUAGGGAGUCAUAAUCAUAGGCCUGACAGUUGAGCCCCACCCACAUGAUGUCAUUGGCCUGCCCCCACCAGAGACUACGAGAGGUAGAGUCACCUUCUCCUUUUACAGCUGCGAGAAUUGAGGCUGCGAUUGCUGAAUUUACUCUUCCAGCGUCACAGAGCUAGGAAAUGGCAGAGUCGAGGUUUGAACGAGGGGCCCCUGCCAGCGAAGCCCACAUUCUUAACUCCUCGGCCACACUGCUACCUCAGAAGCCAUGUGUUUCGGUUUCUCAUCAGAUUCCGAGAGCUCCUUUACAGCCCCUGCCAAAUGGCUGGCUAGCCUCCACUUACACACCUCCAGUGACAGAGAGCUCAUUAUCUUACAGGCCUGCAAAAGAGAAGCUUGAGAGGAAGGGUUCUAGUCCCCAUCCCAGCCUCUUCUUUCUCCUGCCUGGUCUCAGCCAUCCUGUGACUGCCCAGUCUGCACCCUGGAGACUUUUCCCCCGAAGCAGCCUUUCUCCUCCUUGUUUAGUCCCUCAGGCUCAAUGGACCAGUAUGGGGGUGAUAUCUUCACAGUGGCUUUUGUUUCUCUUCCUGUUCCUUUGAAGAGGACGCAAGACUGUCAUGUUGUCACUUGGCAACAAUUCAACAAAUGUGAAAUGUCCCUACCCUGUGACCCAGCCGUCUCUCUCCUUGUACACACGCCCAAAGAGGGAGAAAGCUCAGAGCAGCACGGUUGGUGACAGCAAAACUUCGGAAACACGAAGUAUCCAUUGAAAGGUUAGGACAUCAGAGUGCGUCCUUCGGGUGGAAGAUGCCACAGCAGUUUAAAAGGUUAGGAUUGAGGUAUUCACCCAAGAGACAGGCGAACACAAGCCCAAAUAAAGACUUGUCUGUGAAUGUUUACGGCAAUGCUAUUUGUAAUAGCCCCAAACUGAAAACAUUCAAAUGUCCGUCAACUGGUAAACAGAUAAGCAAAAUGGAACGCAUCUGUGCAAUGGAAUAUUAGCCAUAUAAAGGAUGACGUGAAGCCUACAGCAUGGAUGAAACUCCAAACAGUUAUGCUCAUAAAAGAAGUCAGAUGCAAAAGACCAAGUAUUGCUUGCUCCAGUCUCUACACUGCAGCCCAGGCUACCUGGCCAAUUGGAUCACGUGGCUCUCCUGCUUAAAACUCCUCUGUGCAUACCUGGUGCCCAGAAGGGCCUCCCACUGUGCUUUGCACACAGCAAGUGAUUGCUUAUUGAAUUGAAUUUGAUUUCCAAGCUACAGUCUGGGAAGAUCCCCUCAAAAAGCUUGCUAGGAUUGUAUCUAAAGGACAAGUAAAAAGGCUAUGAGUGAAGGCCAGGAAAGUUUACCUUACAGUAAGGUGCUUGGUAUGGAUAUUGUGGUGUUGGUUUUGGUCCUCAGUUGCCCUUUUAGCCUCGUUUCAGAUUCUAGAUAAGUGAAGUCAUUGCAUAAGUUACUUCAGUUAAGUGAGACGCUAAUGUGCAUGCUGAUUAUAUCUGUUAGGGAUGCAUUAAGCUGCAAGUUGCAGGAUACAGUGGCUUAAACCAUAG